GGUCAAUGGCCUAACGGCUGAACCAGCAAUUUGGAAGUACCGAGUGUAAAAAAAUUAACAAAAAUUUUUUUUUAAAUCACUCACUUAGAUUAUUAUUAUUUUCAAGGGAUAAAGCGAUAAUUUCGCAUAUAAUACUAGAUAAAAAGUAACAAUGACUAUUUUUAUCUAUAAGUCUUGGCCAAAUUACGUGCCAGCAGUCGCGGUAAUACGUAGAAGACUAGUGUUAUUCAUCUUUAAUCGGUUUAAAGGGUACCUAGACGGAAAAUCAAGCCAAUACAAUUGGUACUAAUUUUCUAGAGUUUUAUGAAAGAAUGUCGAAUAAUUAGAGAAGAGAUAAAAUUUUUUGAUACUAGUUAGACGGGUAACAGUGAAGACUACAUUUUAUGUAAAAACUGACGUUGAGGGACGAAGCCUUGGGUAGCAAUAAGGAUUAGAUACCCUAGUAGUCCAAGGAGAAAAUUAUGAGUGUCAUAAACUAGUUUAAAUUAGUUUAUAAAUGAAAGUGUAAGCAUUCCACCUCAUGAGUAAAGCGGCAACGCCGAAAUUGAAAUCAUUAGACCGUGUCUGAAACCAGUAGUGAAGUAUGUUAUUUAAUUCGAUAAUCCGCGAACAACCUUACCACGCUUUGAAUUUUUUUUUUCAACAAGCGUUGCAUGGCUGUCUUAAGUUAAUGUCGUGAGAUUUGGUUCACUCCUUUAAUUAACGAAAUCCCUUGUUUUAAUUUUAUUUUAAGCAGAUUUAGCUACAUAUUGGCUAAAUUUA
rnacentral:rRNA from 1 species